rnacentral:rRNA from 1 species
CACGUAGGGUGCGAGCGUUGUCCGGAAUUAUUGGGCGUAAAGAGCUCGUAGGCGGUGUGUCGCGUCGGCCGUGAAAACCUGCAGCUUAACUGUGGGCUUGCGGUCGAUACGGGCAUCACUGGAGUUCGGCAGGGGAGACUGGAAUUCCUGGUGUAGCGGUGAAAUGCGCAGAUAUCAGGAGGAACACCGGUGGCGAAGGCGCCACUCUGGGCCGGCACUGACGCUGAGGAGCGAAAGCGUGGGUAGCAAACAGG